rnacentral:lncRNA from 1 species
UGCCCUAAUCCUAAUUUAAACCCAAAUCAUAGUUGCAACUCGAGAAUAUCUAUGACCCAUUUAAAACCUUGUAAGAACUUAAAGCUGGAAAAUGAAAGUUGGGCAGUAUUCUUUUCCUUUCAUGAGAACUUUGCUGGCUAUUGCACGAUCGAUCACCACUGCACGAUUUUGCAAGGCUAUUCUAGUUUUUAUGUUCAAUCUAUAGUUGACAGCUAGAACGAGGAACAAAUAUGCAGAAUGAUG